UACAGAGGGGGCAAGCGUUGUUCGGAAUUACUGGGCGUAAAGGGCGCGUAGGCGGCCGCCUAAGUCAGACGUGAAAUCCCUCGGCUCAACCGGGGAACUGCGUCUGAUACUGGGUGGCUUGAAUUCGGGAGAGGGAUGCGGAAUUCCAGGUGUAGCGGUGAAAUGCGUAGAUAUCUGGAGGAACACCGGUGGCGAAGGCGGGUCUCUGGGCCGAGAUUGACGCUGAGGAGCGAAAGCGUGGGGAGCGAACAGG
rnacentral:rRNA from 1 species